rnacentral:rRNA from 1 species
UGAGGAAUAUUGGUCAAUGGGCGUGAGCCUGAACCAGCCAAGCCGCGUGAGGGAGGAAGGCGCCAGGCGUCGUAAACCUCUUUUGCCGGGGAACAAAGGGCGCCACGUGUGUCGUUGUGAGUGUACCCGGAGAAAAAGCAUCGGCUAACUCCGUGCCAGCAGCCGCGGUAAUACGGAGGAUGCGAGCGUUAUCCGGAUUUAUUGGGUUUAAAGGGUGCGUAGGCGGACCGGAAAGUCAGCGGUAAAAGCCCGGGGCUCAACCCGCGCGCGCUGUAAGCAAUGCCGGCAGCUAGAGACGGCGAGAAGUACGCGGAAUGCGCGGUGUAGCGGUGAAAUGCUUAGAUAUUGCGCAGAACUCCGAUUGCGAAGGCAGCGUACUGGCGCCUGACUGACGCUGAGGCACGAAAAGCGUGGGGAUCGAACAGGAUUAGAUACC